UCUUUGAUAACUGAUUCUCCUGGAAAAUUUUCAGGCUUGGAAUGAAUUAGACAUAAGCAAUUAUUGAAGCUCAAGGCCCUCUGAAGGAAUAAGGUUCAAGGCUCUUCAGAAAUUCAAUAGAGAAGAAACAUCUUAUAUCUGGGAGAUAAUAUUCCAGAAGAGAGAAGAAUCAUGGAGAAGUCUUAACAGCAGGGACCCUGGAGAUGAUCCAUUUGGGAAAUGAAUCUUCAACACCCUUCUUUUCCUGAUCUCAUACUACUCAGAGCAGGUGUCUAAUUUGCUGCAGUAUUUUUCACUGUGGCUGCCAGUGAGGCCUUUG